rnacentral:rRNA from 1 species
UACAGAGGGUGCGAGCGUUAAUCGGAAUUACUGGGCGUAAAGCGUGCGCAGACGGUCACGUAAGUCGGGUGUGAAAGCCCCGGGCUCAACCUGGGAAUUGCAUUCGAGACUGCGUGGCUAGGGUGCGGAAGAGGGAAGCGGAAUUUCCGGUGUAGCGGUGAAAUGCGUAGAUAUCGGAAGGAACACCAGUGGCGAAAGCGGCUUCCUGGUCCAGCACCGACGUCAGGCACGAAAGCGUGGGGAGC